rnacentral:rRNA from 1 species
AGGACGAACGCUGGCGGCGUGCUUAACACAUGCAAGUCGAGCGGAAAGGCCCUUCGGGGUACUCGAGCGGCGAACGGGUGAGUAACACGUGAGUAAUCUGCCCCUAGCUCUGGGAUAGCUCCGGGAAACCGGGAUUAAUACCAGAUACGACCACUUUAGACAUCUGUUGUGGUGGAAAGAAUUUUGGCUAGGGAUGAGCUCGCGGCCUAUCAGCUUGUUGGUGAGGUAACGGCUCACCAAGGCGACGACGGGUAGCCGGCCUGAGAGGGCGACCGGCCACACUGGGACUGAGACACGGCCCAGACUCCUACGGGAGGCAGCAGUGGGGAAUAUUGCGCAAUGGGCGAAAGCCUGACGCAGCGACGCCGCGUGGGGGAUGAAGGCCUUCGGGUUGUAAACCCCUUUCAGCAGGACGAAGCGAAAGUGACGGUACCUGCAGAAGAAGCGCGGCUAACUACGCGCCAGCAGCCGC